UGUCCUUGAGCUCACUAAAGAGUAGAAGGACACCCAGCUUACUCUAACUAAUUGUGACCAGUUUAUUGAUGCUUCCUCAAGAGUUCUUUUCCAGUUUAUGUUUAGGAGAAGAAAAAAGAAGAAUUCCAAGACCUGCACCAGGGAAGCAUGACUGUGAGCUAGUAUGCUUCCAAGUUCAUUCAAUUUUCCAUAUUUGCCCCAAAUAUCAUAGCCAUGGAAAAUAAGAAGGUCUGG
rnacentral:lncRNA from 1 species